rnacentral:rRNA from 1 species
GAUGAACGCUGGCGGCGUGCCUAAUACAUGCAAGUCGAACGCAAUACUUCGGUAUUGAGUGGCGAACGGGUGAGUAAUACAUAAGCAACCUGGCCAUGACAGGGGGAUAACUGACGGAAACGACAGCCAAAACCGCAUAGGUAUAAACGUAGCAUUUUGUUUAUAUUAAAAAUGCUAAGGCAUUGGUGAUGGAUGGGCUUAUGGAGCAUUAGCUAGUUGGUGAGGUAGAGGCUCACCAAGGCGACGAUGCAUAGCCGGCCUGAGAGGGUGAACGGCCACACUGGGACUGAGACACGGCCCAGACUCCUACGGGAGGCAGCAGUAGGGAAUUUUCGGCAAUGGGGGGAACCCUGACCGAGCAACGCCGCGUGAAGGAAGAAGGAAUUCGUUUCGUAAACUUCUGUUAUAAAGGAAGAAAGGGAUGUGUAGGGAAUGAUACAUCUAAGACGGUACUUUAUGAGGAAGCCACGGCUAACUACGUGCCAGCCGCCGCGGUAA